AACGAACGCUGGCGGCAUGCCUAACACAUGCAAGUCGAACGAGACCUUCGGGUCUAGUGGCGCACGGGUGCGUAACGCGUGGGAACCUGCCCUUAGGUUCGGAAUAACUCCCCGAAAGGGGUGCUAAUACCGGAUAAUGUCUUCUGACCAAAGAUUUAUCGCCUUUGGAUGGGCCCGCGUUGGAUUAGCUAGUUGGUAGGGUAAAAGCCUACCAAGGCGACGAUCCAUAGCUGGGCUGAGAGGAUGAUCAGCCACACUGGGACUGAGACACGGCCCGGACUCUUACGGGAGGCGGGAGUGGGGAAUAGUGGAACAUGGGCGGAAGGCUGAUCCAGCAAUGCCGCGUGAGUGAUGAAGGCAUUAGGGUAGUAAAGCGCUUUUACCCGGGAUGAUAAUGACAGUACCGGGAGAAUAAGCUCCGGCUAACUCCGUG
rnacentral:rRNA from 1 species